rnacentral:rRNA from 1 species
UACGAAGGGGGCGAGCGUUGUUCGGAAUUAUUGGGCGUAAAGGGCGCGUAGGCGGGCCAUCAAGUCAGGGGUGAAAUCCUCCGGCUCAACCGGAGAACAGCUUCUGAUACUGGUGGUCUCGAGGGGGGUAGGGGCAUGUGGAACUUCCGGUGGAGCGGUGAAAUGCGUAGAUAUCGGAAGGAACGCCGGUGGCGAAAGCGACGUGCUGGACCCUUUCUGGCGCUGAGGCGCGAAAGCCAGGGGAGCAAACGGG